ACUAGCGAUAUCACUAAUUGAGGAGUACUCCUUCCAAAGAUCACUUCCACCUCCCCGGAAUGCGACAAGUGGCUGUUGCAUGUACGCCACUUGUCACAAUCAGGGAGUUUUUCCUUUUUUUCGUAGAUUCGUUUAUUCAAAACGUUUUAUCUCUUAAACUGUGCAUCCGAAUCUCGAACCAUUUUCACUGUUGGAUUCCUCGCCUCGAGAUUUACAAAACUAGAUCCCGUGUUGAUAGAUUUGACAAACUUUUUUCAUGAAAAGAAACCAAACAAAAAAACCACACCAGGAGCACGUGUUUCCCUUUCAAAAAGCCGUUUCCGAGAAGCAUGGUAGUGCCUCUCGCGGAUUUUUUCGUUUCAGAUAGGCACGGUCGUGCCUCUCGUGGAAAAAAAGUGUCUCUCACGAAAGGGAAAAAAAGAAAACUCAACCAUUAGGCUUCUCCAAAUAAAUUUUGGUUGGGCUUCAAAAAUAAGCUGGACAUCCUGCAAAACAACUGGCCCUAAAAGCUAAAGCCCAUCCUGCAAACUAAUUGUCCUAUAGUGGGGCCUGUUCAGGACCGCAUAUUGACACCAUAUGAUUCUCAUCUUAUCUCUCAAAAAAAAAUUUGAUUCCCAUCUUCCCGUGCGCAUGGGCGACGAGAGAAGGGGGCGAGGGAGCCGCCGGAGAAGGGGGCAAAGGGGACGCGCGGCAGUCCUCCCCCAUGCUGCCGAAGCGCUUGGCAACGAAGGGCCAUGGGCCGCGGAGCGGAGGGGAUGCGCCGGUGGCGGCCACUUAGCACUGAAGAAAUUGACGUUGAAUGGGUCAAGUCAAAGUCCAUGAAAAGUUUUGGCUAUGGUCUCAGCUACGUGCAUGGAGCUUAAAGACAUGGACUGCUUUCCACAUUCUGUCUCCUUCAAGGCUGGUAAUACUUGUACGUCAGUUAGGCCAGUCUAACAACUACAGUAUAUCGUUUGAAGGUACUACACGCAUAUCCUAUCGCCACUGAACUUGAAUUGCUUGGCCCAAAGAGGCAGAAUGGCCUUGGCUUCGUUGCCAGUACUGGCGUCACUAGACAACCAAGAUCUGCGUCGGUAACAUGGCAGUUGUACCUGGUGAAUGGUACUGAAUAUACAAAGAAGGUAACUUAAGACAGUGGGCAGUAUAUGGCGAUGAGAUGAUUUUGCUUAAACUGAUUCUCUGGUUCUAAAGUACUCUGUAUAACAGCAUUCGUUUGCUGCAGAACAAGUUGACUCUAUCUAACGGAAGAAAUUCAGGGGAAGAGACUGUGGUGUUGCAAAGCUAAGAUUAGGAAAAUGAUUCGCAGGUAAGACAUGUAGUGUCUACUCAAAGCAGAGACCCCGACGAAGACCCGGAGGAAAAUGAUUCGCAGGUAAAACACUAUUUGUACCAAAAUAGUGUUGGUUGCUGGCAAGCAGCACUCUGUACCGCAAAGCAGUUCUCUGAUAUUCCGGGGAGGAAGACGAUGGAUUUAAUGUGCAUUUGGUACAAAUUUAUAGGCCUUUCCUCUUCAUCGCGUCGGAAAAUAGUGUUGCUGGUGCAGAGUUUUCUUGUUUUCUUCAGUCAAAUCCUUUGGCCAUGCGAGUUGGGUAAGGAAAAUGAUUCGCAGGUAAGACAUGCAGUGUCUACUCAAAGCAGAGACCCAGACGAGAAAUUAAGUGCUCCAGAGACAAGUAUUCUUUCCAGCACUAGAGAAGUUGACGUUUAAUGCCUCAAGUCAAAGUCCAUGAAAAGUUGUGUCUACUAGUCGUGAACCCGUGCAUUCGCACGGGCAUAGUUAUAAAUAUGAAUGUUUUAAUAUUAUAGAUAUUGACAUGAACCACACACAUAUAUCUGCA